GGCUAGCGUCCAGACCGCCCCUGCUCUUUGGCCCUUUGCUAGUGGAGAUGCGCCGGCGCUCGCUCUUUCGCAGAGAAGCCAGCGACGUCAGAACGCCUCCAUCCGGACAUUGGAACAAUCACUGCCUGUGUUGGUCGGGUCUCGGUCUCCAACCCUCCAGGUUUCACCGUCAUCAUGCAUUUCUUCCUUCUAGCACACCUGGAAUUAGCGGUUCUCCUUUUUCCUGUAGUCUCCACUGAUUUGUUACCACUCAGUCGCGUGACUUUCUCCAGACUUCUGCCUUGCCUCCGCCCACACCCGGAGACAGCAUAAGUACCCAGGCUGCAGUACUGCUGUAGGUUAGCUUACUUCAUCUGUGCAAAGCUUGAGUCCUGGAGAUCAGAGCCCCGAGCGCGAUGUAGCCGCAUUUUCCUGGCCGUGUGAAAGAGGCUUGGGAUUCCACAGCGGGGGCGCCAGAGCCCCAGCCUGCAUCUCUGUUGAACUCAGAAGAUUCUGGGCUUUGCCCACUCCCUUUCUAUCCUGUGCUGGGAGAAUCCUCAGGCCACGGUGGUGGUUUGGUUUCGGAACUGCUUUCCAGUCCUUGUUGGCGGCUUCGCUGGGUCUACCCGCAAAAGGAAGUCUUGCCCAGAUCCCACUGCACCUUGGAACCCAGACCCGCUCUGCCCACUGUGGACCUCUGGCCCGGGACACAGAAGAAGCCAGAGGCAUCUUCAGGAGAGGCGGACUCUGCGAAGGAACCCGAAGGACUCUCGCACCAGCAGCUUCCCUGCACCAGGACGCAGCGCCUGGCGACAGAAGGCUGGAGGAGACCAGACCGCGGGGACCCUUCGGAGCACCGCAGACCCCUGCCAGCUCGGUGGAGUCCCGUGGGAGCAUUCUCAGGCUGCUUGGAUUGGAUUGGUCACACCGUGUACACCUUGAGGAGCGGCCUCUGCAGGAGCAUCUUUGGGACUAAGGAGCCCUGAGAUUGCAGCGGGAGCCUUUCCUAGCUGCCCUCGGAAAAGAGUCUCAUUUGUGAAACUUACAACAUAAAAAUCUCUUAAGAUGUGCCCUUCA